AUGCUUUCUUUGGCAGCACAUAUACUAAAAUUGGAUUGAUAUAGAGAUUAGCAUAGACUGCACAAGGAUGGCACACAAAUUUCUCUUUCUCUUU
rnacentral:snRNA from 1 species